UUUAAGUACAGUUGUGUGUUUCCGUGUUCAACAUUUGAUCGCCCAUCUUAUUGGAUAUUUUUUUAUGAUUAUUAUUUUUGUUGUUAUUAGACAGUAAAACAUGAACAAUACUUUAUACGCGACUUAUUUUUAAAAAAUGUUAUAAAAUUUUUAAAUAAAAUGAACGUGCAAAUGUUGAACACGAAACCCUCAACUGCUUUAAAA
rfam:Oryza barthii chromosome 5, whole genome shotgun sequence.